CCAACAUUUUCAGAUGAUAUCACAGUUUUAAAACUAAGAAGUCAUACAAUAAAUAUUGUUUUUAAAUUGGAAACACUAGUAAUUUUUUUCUGUUUAUAUUCUUCAAAAAUAUCUAGUUGACAUAAACAAAAAAACCUAGAGGCUCUAAAGAGCCUGUGUCGCUCACCUUGGUAUAUGUGAAUAUUAAACAAAAGAAACAGAUGGAUUCAUGACAAAAUUGUGUUUUGGUGAUGGUGAUGUGUUUGUACAUCUUACUUUACUGAACAUUCUUGCUGCUUACAAUUAUCUAUCUAUAAUGAACCUGGCCCAAUGAAAAUUGUUAAAAAUUGACUAUAAAGGACAUUAACUCCUUAGGGGGUCAAUUGACCAUUUCAGUCAUGUUGUCUUAUUUGUAAAUCUUACUUUGCUGAACAUUAUUGCUUUUUACAGGUUAUCUCUAUCUAUAAUAGUAUUCAAGAUAAUAACCAAAAACAGCAAAAUUUCCUUAAAAUUACCAAUUUAGGG
rnacentral:lncRNA from 1 species